GAGUGCGAUCAUACCAGCGUUAAUGCACCGGAUCCCAUCAGAACUCCGCAGUUAAUAGCGCUUGGGCUAGAGUAGUACUGGGAUGGGUGACCUCCCGGGAAGUCCUAGUGUUGCACCCU
rnacentral:rRNA from 1 species